AUUAUGGCUCAGGAUGAACGCUAGCUACAGGCUUAACACAUGCAAGUCGAGGGGCAGCAUGUGGUUGCUUGCAACCAAUGAUGGCGACCGGCGCACGGGUGAGUAACGCGUAUCCAACCUUCCCCUUAGUAGAGGAUAGCCCGGCGAAAGUCGGAUUAAUACUCUAUGUUCUUCAAUGCGGACAUCUAAGUUGAAGCAAAGAUUUAUCGCUAAGGGAUGGGGAUGCGUCUGAUUAGGUUGCAGGCGGGUAACGGCCCACCUGGCCUACGAUCAGUAGGGGUUCUGAGAGGAAGGUCCCCCACACUGGUACUGAGACACGGACCAGACUCCUACGGGAGGCAGCAGUGAGGAAUAUUGGUCAAUGGGCGCGAGCCUGAACCAGCCAAGUAGCGUGCAAGGACGACUGCCCUAUGGGUUGUAAACUGCUUUUAUCAGGGAAUAAAGUGAGGCACGCGUGCCUUUUUGUAUGUACCUGAUGAAUAAGGACCGGCUAAUUCCGUGCCAGCCGCCGC
rnacentral:rRNA from 1 species